CCUGUCCAUAGAGGCUCUGCAAGUGUGGCUCCUGUGUCACAUGUGUGUUAGUAAGUAGUUGAGAAGAGUGGGACUAUGUUGAUGCUCAGGGUUCUGACCUGUGAAUAUCUGAAUGACUAGUAGCUUAACAUU